rnacentral:rRNA from 1 species
GAUGAACGCUGGCGGCGUGCCUAAUACAUGCAAGUCGAGCGAAUGGAUUAAGAGCUUGCUCUUAUGAAGUUAGCGGCGGACGGGUGAGUAACACGUGGGUAACCUGCCCAUAAGACUGGGAUAACUCCGGGAAACCGGGGCUAAUACCGGAUAACAUUCUGAACCGCAUGGUUCGAAAUUGAAAGCGGCUUCGGCUGUCACUUAUGGAUGGACCCGCGUCGCAUUAGCUAGUUGGUGAGGUAACGGCUCACCAAGGCAACGAUGCGUAGCCGUCCUGAGAGGGUGAUCGGCCACACUGGGACUGAGACACGGCCCAGACUCCUACGGGAGGCAGCAGUAGGGAAUCUUCCGCAAUGGACGAAAGUCUGACGGAGCAACGCCGCGUGAGUGAUGAAGGCUUUCGGGUCGUAAAACUCUGUUGUUAGGGAAGAACAAGUGCUAGUUGAAUAAGCUGGCACCUUGACGGUACCUAACCAGAAAGCCACGGCUAACUACGUGCCAGCCGCCGCAGUAA